AGCGAACGUUUGCGGCGGGCUUAACACAUGCAAGUCGAACGAGAAUCCCUUCGGGGAGGAAAGUGGCGCACGGGUGCGUAACACGUGGAUAACCAACCCAUUGGUUUGGGACAACACCGGGAAACUGGUGCUAAUACCAGAUGUGUCGCAGCUGUCUUCAGGCGGUUGCGAGAAAGGCCCGCAAGGGUCGCCAACGGACGGGUCCGCGUCCCAUCAGCUAGUUGGUGAGGUAAUGGCUCACCAAGGCAAAGACGGGUAGGCUGGUCUGAGAGGAUGAUCAGCCACACUGGAACUGAGACACGGUCCGAGACUCCUACCGGGAGGGCAGCAGU
rnacentral:rRNA from 1 species